CCAAUUUCGGGUUCUGUUCGCCUUGAACGAAAUUUGGACCCACCUGCUUUUCGGUUUUUAACUCAUUUUACUUGUCCUAGUCUAAACAUACAAAAAUAAAUACAAGAAUGUAAAAAAACAAAGGCUUAUACCCAUUACUAAUAAAAAUACAAAAAUAAAAAUAAAGAAAAGUCUUCUAAUACGUCUUCUUCAAAUUUCUUCAAUCUUCCUGAAAUUGGGCUCCAUACGUUUGCCUUGACUGGAUAAAGGAAUGGAGCCUUUACGGCUCUUCCGAAAUGCAAAGAGAAGAAGGGAGACCCAAAACGGACUCGAGAGGGAUUUUUCAUGCAAACAAACAAAUAAAAUGAUAUAAGUAAUGCUAAAUAAAUGUACAAUAGAGCUAUUUGCUGAAGUACACAAUAAACCCCAAAGAAAACAAAUAAACAAAUGGAUGAUUUACAAAAGAUAAUAGAAGCUAAGAACCAAGACUUCUUCAUCAAAAGGUCGACAAUAUGCUAAUGAACAAAAUCAAAUUCAACGAAUAUGCAACAAUCAAAGACCAACAAGUAAACCGUUAACAACUAACUUAGAUUAAGGUGUUUCAGCUAACCCAUUUCAAUUUUUCGAAAGCAACAAAAACAUAGUAUCAACAAUAGAACUAAAAUUUGUCAUGAAUAAUGCAUCAAGGAAACCUUCCAUAUGACCAAGACAACCAAAGGUACUUGCCAAUAAUUUGAUGUACACCCUUCUCCAGUGAACAAAAAUGACACAUGCUUCUAAAAAUCACAUAGUAUUCUCUAAAAACUUUAAACAUCGAGAACAUAAAAAAAAGCUAAGCCUAUCUAGAGAUUAAGACUAACUACGAUUAUUUAAGGAAAUAAAGCGAACAUGCCACAACAGCAAGCUCAAAAUCAUAAGAGGGAAAUAACAAAGAAGAAAUGACUUAGCUAAUAACGCAUGUGACAUUCCGAUAUACCUCACUUAUGGUUAGAAAAGACCAUGCACAAAACAAAAGGUAGGCAAGACAACUGCUACGCGAUCACAUUAAAUGCAGAAAAUCCCAACAAAUGAUAUGAAGGAAACUAAAGAAAACAAACUUCAAGAGGUAUAAAUUAAACAUCCUUAUUAAAAGCAAAGUCUAAACAAUAAUAUUUAAAUAAGUUUGACAUAGUACUAACAAAGGAUACUCAACAGUGUAAUCCCCCAAAACUGACAAACUCUUAUUCUAUUUCUUUUAACUUCGAACGAAUAAUAUACUCCAUUUUUUACUUACGGGACUGCCUUACUAACCUCUACAACAUAAUCUCUUCAAACGAAAACACAUCUGAGAAAAAAAACAAAAAAAAAACAACGAUACAGAUUUAGACAUGAACCGACCAGCUAAAGCCUUUGCCAAUAUCUACUUAACAAUCACAGUUUGAGUCAUGUAACAGAGAGGUAUGACUCUACUGGAUUAGGCUAACAUAUAGGAUAACUUCAAAUGAUAGAACAAGCAACCAUCAGCAUUAGCAAACUGUGACGAAAACAGAAUCAACCAUGUACAUUCACAUUCGAGUAUCUUAACACAACUCAACCCAAAACAAAACGAUGGAACAACAGUUGGUGAACAACAACACAUAUAAUGAUUCAGACUAUCACUAGAGAAAAUCGGUGGACACAGCUAAAACCCAUCGCAUCACAGCAACAAAGAUGAGGUAAGUUUGAAAAGGAUAAGUCGUACCUUUUCCAGGAAGUGAGACUGAGACGAGAACGAGCAGUAACAGCAAUAACUUCCACCCCAAACAAAAACACGAAUACCAAAUGACGAAACGGAAGUUGCUGGAUCGAUUAGCUCACCAAUCUGUCAAUCUCUGUGCUUGUUAUGAUCUUGGAAAAUCUUUCUAGGACCGCUUGAGACUUCUCUCAACCAGUUUGGACGUAAAAAUGGUAGACAAGAAAUCAUCCUCUAGUUUUUCCGAAACAAACAAGAAGGAACCAAAGAAUUUUUUCCCAAAUUUUCCCAAGAAUUUUUUAACUGUUCUUCUACAACAGACAGAAGAAGAACCAAAUAUUUUCCCAAAAAUUCAUCUAACUCUUCGUGAUAAAACUAUCUCUCCAAAUCUCCAACCCCUAAUCCGAAGAAGAAAGAGAGUUUAUAUAGAGGAGCUUCCCUGAAGAAAACAAACGAGGGUAUAAUCGUAUUUGCAACCCUAGGUUUGAAAUCCAAUCCUUAAAUCCUAUCCGAUAUCCACCGAAUAUUCUCGCGAGAUUCCAGCCUCUCAAUGGAAUAAAGAGGAAUAGAGGGUUGGAUCGUCUCUUUCGUCCUUGACGAAAGAUGUGUACUUAUCUCCAAGAGGCGGGGCUACACAGCUGGAGAAUGAAGGAUUAUACGAAUGUUGUAGCCCGCUGAAAUUCGUACGAAACAUAGAAAGGGGGAAAGAGCCGUUGCAAGAGAACGACAAAACAGACAGCUAACCACCUACUGGUCGAUUCCUUCGUGUUAUCAGCGCGCGUUGUCGUCGCUUGAGGGAAGGGGGAUUGAAACUCACGCACAGCAGACGUGAGGAGGGUUUCUGGGAAUUAAAUUUCUUUCGCGUCUGGGGGGAUUUUAGUGUCUAGGUUCUGGAUAUUUCACGUCUGUUCUAGGAAUAUCGCUUGAAGAAGGAGAAAGAGGGAGGGGAAAUUCUGGGAAAUUAGCGUGUGGGUUCUGGAUACUUUGACGUUUUCUAGGAAUUUUUUGGCAUCUUCU
rnacentral:misc_RNA from 1 species